UCGGAAAUAGUUUAACUAUAAAAUUUAAAUUUUGGAGAUUUAAGAUGUGAUUUUCUUUCUGAA
rnacentral:tRNA from 1 species